UUGUUCUUCGUUUGCCUGCAGGAAACAGACCUUCGUGGUCAGGUUGAUCGUGCUCCGGCGUGGUCAAUAACCUCUCGGAGUUGGUUUAGCGAUUGCUAAGGCGCGACGUCCUCGCACGUUCGUAGUCGGAUCGUCAAAGUCGACUUCAUCCAAAACGAUAGCCACCAUCUAAUCGAAAGACGGGACACCUUUGCCUCUAUCAAGUGGUAUCAAAUUUCCAGGUUGCUCGGUGAGAUUUUACAGUUUUUCGUAGUUUAGACCGAGUCUGUUCUUCAUACCUAUAGUCCACGAAAAAGCCAAAAAAAAUUAAAGGUUAGUUCAUCCUAUCCGAACCAAUCUGAGCCUUUGCAUAAUCUUUUCUGUGUUUGCUUUGUUGAAUUUGCGGUUGCAUUGUCGUGUCAAGUUGCUGGUCUUAGCGUCUAGUCCUUUAGAGUUUCGAGUUCUGUUCACAGGUUGUCACGUCGCCGCUGCCAUAUAUCACCACCGCAUCAUCAUCCUCGCUGCUGCCAUAUACCACCACCGCACCAACUUCAUCGCCGCUGCCAUAUACCAGCACCACAUAUUCACCGCCAAUCCGAGUCCAUAUACGCCACCACAUAUCCGCCGCCAUCACGCCAAUCCGAGUACACCUGCAACAUAUAUCCGCUACCAGUCCGAGUUCCACCAGAUUCAUCUCCACCACCAGUCCGAGUUCCACCAGAUUCAUCUCCGCCACCAGUCCUAGUCCAAGUCCAGUAUUUUGUUACUCUGUUUUGGAUUUCCAGAUCACGCCAUACUCCGAGUCGUGACAGAGAAGGACUCCCAAACUUCUGUGUUACCCGCAGUAGAAAAAUAGUUCCAGUUUCAAAAAAAAACUAAGUCUGGAAAAUUCUGGCUAGGCAGUUUUUAGACCAUUUGUAGACUUUUUUGAAAAAAAAUUGUUGCGGAGCAAAAAAAAGAGGAAAAAAGUGAAAAAAAGAGAAAAAAAAUUCAGAGUGUGCUCCUCCCUUGUUUACGUGCAGCGCCGUGAUUUUGUUAGUGUUCUAGGCUCGCGUCUCUAGCUCGGUCUAGCCUAGGACCAGCAUAGUACCGUCGUUGAGCGUUUAUUCAACUUUGCAUAUCUGAAUUGAUUAUUGCUGACCCUUUUUGCUCCCAUAUUAUAAGCCUUCCCAGCUCCACCUACAUCUACGUCAUGCGUUUGACUCUCCCUGGUAAUCGCUCUAUCCAAGCUUUGAGAGUUUUGACUACAACGGUUGCCGAUCACCACCUGCUGCUGGGUAAGAACUGGUAAGAAUUUGAGAUUCGCUUGAAGGAUUUGUGACACACCACCAUCACCACCACUUCCUAGUAGUCUGUAGGAUCAUAUUCUUUUGUGUUUCUAUUGCUGCUAACCAUGGCAGGAUCACAAGCCGAUGAGACUGAUUGGGAGAACAUGACGAACAAGGAGUUGCAUGAUAAAUUUCAGCAAAUGAUGAGUGGCCAGGUGGCAGAUGUGCUAAACAGAUUUGAAGAGGCUAUGGAGAGGAUAGAUGCCGUGGAGAAGUCGUUCGAGACAAAGCUGGAUAACAAGUUUAAUGAAUUGCUCAAGCGUCUUCCCCAACCACCACCGGCUGCACCUGUCGCACCUCUACAACAACAACAACCACAUCUCCAACGCCGCCUUCCAAAUCAAGUGGGACGAGCACAACGCGUUCCAAUUGAGACUGGUCAAAAUUCGGGUGUCGCUGCACCUACUGUUGAUGCUUCUUUGGCUCCUGCUACUGCGGCGGCUGAGGAGGAUGACGAUUAUGCGAGCGAUUAUGAGGAUGAGGUUGAUCAAAAUUAGAACUACAUGCAGCCACCAGCACCACCACCAGCAGGUCGACCUCAGGUAUAUAUUCGCAACGGUAGGCCUGCACCACCACCUCAGGUACGAGGUCAUGACCAUGUUCCUAAACUGAAAUUGAAUAUUCCACCGUUUGAGGGUAGAUACAUUCCUGAUGUAUACCUUACUUGGGAGUUAGAAACUGAACAACGUUUUACAUGUUUACAAUAUCCCGAGGAGAGACGGGUUGCUGCUGCUGCUGUUUGUGCUUUCACUAGUUUUGCAUGUGUAUGGUGGUCUGAACAUUGUAGAUUAUAUCCUAUUCCAGCUACUUGGGCUGCUUUGAAGACUGCUAUGCGUACUCGUUGGGUUCCACCAUAUUAUCAACGUGAAUUGCUUCAAAAACUGCAGCGUUUACGACAAGGGAAAAAUUCUGUAGAAGAAUAUUAUCAGGAAUUACAAACUGGCAUGAUUAGAUGUGGUAUUGUUGAGGAGAAUGAAGCUAUGCUUGCACGUUUUAUGGGUGGAUUAAAUAGAGAGAUUCAGACCAUUCUAGAGUAUAAGGAUUAUAAUAAUAUCACUCGUUUAUUCCAUCUUGCUUGUAAAGCUGAACGUGAAGUGCAGGAUCGACAAGCAUUGGCGCGAACUAACUUUUCUGUAGGUCGACCUUCAUCAUGGACACCGCGUGCAUCUUCUACUUCCACUACACCAGCACCUCCAUCAGGUUCCACCUCCAGCCGUGAUACAAGAAAGCAGGCACAACCGCCACUAUCUGCCAAGAGCGCACCUGCCGGGCCUGCACAGAGCUCUUCUUCUUCCAUGGCGUUAACAGGGCACACAAGUGAUAUUAUUUGUCGUCGUUGUAAGGGAAGAGGACAUUUUGCGAGAGAAUGCAAAUCUCAGCGUGUGAUGAUUGCUACUGAGGAUGGUGGGUAUGAGUCCGCUAAUGACUAUGAUGAGGAGACUUUGGCUCUUAUUACACAUGAAGAACACGGUGGAGAUGAUUCUGAUCAUGAGACGCAAUACAUGGCUGCUGAAGAUGCUGACAGGUAUGAAUGUUUAGUUGCUCAACGUGUUUUGAGUGUGCAGGUUACACAAGCUGAGCAAAAUCAGAGGCAUAAUUUGUUCCAUACAAAGGGAGUUGUGAAGGAACGUUCUAUUCGCGUCAUCAUAGAUGGAGGGAGUUGCAACAACUUGGCUAGCAUGGAGAUGGUGGAGAAGCUAUCUCUCACCACAAGACCACAUCCACAUCCUUACUACAUCCAAUGGUUCAACAACAGCGGCAAGGUUAAGGUAACACGUACUGUUCGGGUGCAUUUUAGUAUCUCUACAUAUGCUGAUUAUGUUGAUUCUGAUGUGGUACCUACGCAAGCAUGUUCCUUAUUACUUGGUAGACCAUGGCAAUUCGAUUAAAAUUCUGUACACCAUGGUAGAAACAAUCAGUAUACUCUUGUUCAUAAGGAUACAAAUAUUACUUUGCUUCCUAUGACUCCUGAUUCCAUUUUGAAAGAUGAUAUUCAUAGAGUUAAUAAAGCAAAACAGGAGAAAAAUAAGAGUGAAAAUCAGAUUGUGGCAAAAGAAUUUGAGCAACAAAUGAAGCCUAAUAAUAAACUGAUGCGGAGCAUCCUACGAUCAUCCCCAUGGAUCUACCAUCGUCUCAUCAAGAGCCAAGAGGACCUAUGACACGAGCACGAGCUAGAGCUCUCGAGAACGAGGUGACUUCCUUCCUUAGUGAUAUCACAUAUGAUCCACUCGAGACAUGGCUACUACCUAAGUCCAAUAUGCUAUGCAUGAUUAGGUGUCAAGAGGAGCCUCCCGAGGAUGCACGUGAAGACAGACAAGCCGCCAAGUCCAUGGAUGAAGAGAACCAACGGAAACGGGCAAGUUCACCUUCCAGGCCCCGGACAUCCGGCCAUGACCCCGGACAUCCGGCCCCUGGAGCAUCCACAGCAGCAGCAGGCCAGACGCCCAAGCCUACAGGGCCCGGACAUCCUGCGUCCAGCCCGGACAUCCGGCCCCAGCCCGGAAAUCCGGCCAAAAGCCCGGACAUCCGGCGCCACGCUACAGAACAUCCAGAAGUUUUGCCCUCCAGCCCGGACAUCCGGCCUCUCCUGAAGGCCCGGACAUCCGGCCUCUCCCGAAGCCCCGGACAUCCGGCCACCUCUGUCUGCGCACAGUAAGGGCCGAGGCCCGUGUACCCCUUCGACUCCCUAGACUAUAUAUACUCUUUCUCCUCCAUCUUUCUAGGGUUAGCAUUGGUUUAGCUCAUAUGUGAGAUAGAGCAUUGCUCAUCCAUACGGAUCUCCUCCUCGAGAGAGACAGCGACCCCUCUUCGGAGACGAUCCACGUUGGAUUCAAGACCCCCUCUUGGGUGGCCCCCUUCAAGACCUCCUUUCGGAGAAGAACCGGUUACCUAUGUAUCGUCCCUUGUUGGAUUUGGAUCAUGUAUCUCUUUGUGUUUCGAGGAUCUAGCACAUGUGUGAUUGUUAUUGUUGGUUUGAGUGAUUCUCUCGUGUCUUCCCUCGUGUUUCCCCUCGUGUUCUUCGUGUUCUUAGUUGGGAUCCGCUCCUUUCGUGAAAGAUCGGCUAUAUAGGGUUCCACCCUACAUCAUAAACCAUCUAGUGUUGCUUCUGAAAUUAAAUUGAAAAGUGCAUGUUUACUUGCCACCAAAUCUGAUAUUGAUGAGCUAGUUUUUAGCCAAUCUGUUUGCUAUGCUUUUUGUGUGCAAAGAGGCAUUAUUUUCAUUCGAGGACGUGCCUUCCUCUUUGCCCCCUGCAGUCACUAACAUUUUGCAGGAGUUCGCCGACGUCUUCCCACAAGACGUGCCACCGGGAUUACCACCUAUUCGAGGGAUUGAGCAUCAAAUUGACUUAAUUCUCGGUGCAUCGCUACCCAACCGUGCACCAUACCGUACCAAUCCAGAGGAGACGAAGGAGAUUAUGCGUCAAGUAUAGGAGCUGCUCGACAAAGGUUAUAUUCGCGAAUCCCUUAGUCCUUGUGUUGUUCCUAUUAUUCUAGUGCCGAAAAAGGAUGGUACGUCGCGUAUGUGUGUUGAUUGUAGAGGCAUUAAUAAUAUUACUAUUCGUUAUCGUCAUCCUAUUCCUAGGCUAGAUGAUAUGCUUGAUGAAUUGAGUGCCUCUACAAUAUUCUCCAAAGUUGAUUUGCGUAGUGGAUACCAUCAAAUUCGUAUGAAAUUGGGAGAUGAAUGGAAAACAUCAUUUAAAACUAAGUUUGGCUUAUAUGAGUGGUUAGUCAUCCCUUUUGGGUUAACUAAUGCACCUAGUACUUUCAUGAGACUAAUGAACGAAGUUUUACGUGCUUUCAUUGGACGAUUUGUGGUAGUCUAUUUUGAUGAUAUACUGAUUUAUAGCAAAUCUUUGGAAGAACAUUUGGAACAUUUACGUGAUGUUUUUAUUGCUCUACGUGAUGCACGUUUGUUUGGUAACCUUGGGAAGUGCACCUUUUGCACCGACCGAGUAUCUUUUCUUGGCUAUGUUGUUACUCCACAGGGAAUUGAAGUUGAUAAAGCCAAGAUUGAAGCUAUUGAGAGUUGGCCGCAGCCCAAAACGGUCACACAAGUGCGGAGUUUUCUUGGACUCGCUGGUUUCUAUAGGCGUUUUGUGAGAGAUUUUAGCACCAUUGCUGCACCUCUGAACGAGCUUACAAAGAAGGAUGUGCCUUUUGUUUGGGGUACCGCACAGGAAGAAGCCUUCACGGUAUUGAAAGAUAAGUUGACACAUGCUCCUUUACUCCAACUUCCUGAUUUUAAUAAGACUUUUGAGCUUGAAUGUGAUGCUAGUGGAAUUGGAUUAGGAGGUGUGUUAUUACAAGAUGGCAAACCUGUUGCAUACUUUUCUGAAAAAUUGAGUGGGCCUAGUCUGAACUAUUCUACUUAUGAUAAAGAAUUAUAUGCUCUUGUUCGGACUUUAGAAACAUGGCAACAUUAUUUAUGGCCCAAAGAAUUUGUUAUACAUUCUGAUCAUGAAUCUUUGAAACACAUUAAAAGUCAAGCAAAACUGAACUAUAGACAUGCUAAAUGGGUAAAGAAAAUAUUAUUGCUGAUGCAUUAAACACAAGAAGGGUAAAGAAAAUGUUAUUGCUGAUGCAUUGUCUCGUCGUUAUACUAUGCUUUCACAACUUGACUUUAAAAUAUUUGGUUUGGAGACCAUCAAAGAUCAAUAUGUGCAUGAUGCUGAAUUUAAAGAUGUAUUGCAGAAUUGUAAAGAAGGUAGAACAUGGAACAAGUUCGUCGUUAAUGAUGGAUUUGUGUUUCGUGCUAACAAGCUAUGCAUUCCAGCUAGCUCCGUUCGUCUUUUGUUGUUGAAGGAGGCGCAUGGAGGAGGACUAAUGGGACACUUUGGCGUGAAGAAGACGGAGGAUAUACUUGCUACAUAUUUCUUUUGGCCAAAGAUGAGACGGGAUGUUGAGCGUUUUGUUGCUCGCUGCACUACAUGUCAAAAAGCUAAGUCAUGACUCAAUCCUCAUGGUUUAUAUAUGCCUUUGCCUGUACCUAGUGUUCCUUGGGAGGAUAUAUCUAUGGACUUUGUUUUAGGUUUACCUCGAACAAAGAAGGGGAGGGAUAGCAUAUUUGUUGUCGUGGAUAGAUUGUCGAAAAUGGCACACUUUAUACCAUGUCAUAAAAGCGAUGAUGCUGUUAAUGUUGCUGAUUUGUUCUUUCGUGAAAUUAUUCGCUUGCAUGGUGUGCCAAAUACUAUUGUUUCAGAUCGUGAUACUAAAUUUCUUAGCCACUUUUGGAGAUGUUUAUGGGCUAAGUUGGGGACUAAACUGCUUUUUAGUACUACUUGUCACCCCCAAACUGAUGGACAAACUGAAGUAGUCAUAGAACAUUGUCUACUAUGCUUAGGGCUGUUUUGAAGAAUAAUAAGAAAAUGUGGGAAGAAUGCUUGCCUCAUAUUGAAUUUGCUUAUAAUCGUUCAUUGCAUUCUACUACUAAGAUGUGCCCUUUUGAAAUUGUGUAUGGUUUCCUACCUCGUGCACCAAUUGAUUUGUUGCCUCUUCCAUCUUCGGAGAAGGUUAAUUUUGAUGCUAAAGAACGUGCUGAAUUGAUUUUAAAAAUGCAUGAGUUAACUAAGGAAAACAUUGAGCGUAUGAAUGCUAAAUAUAAACUUGCUGGAGAUAAGGGUAGAAAACAUGUUGUGUUUGCACCUGGAGAUCUUGUUUGGUUACAUUUGCGUAAGGAUAGAUUUCCUAAUUUGCGCAAAUCAAAGCUAAUGCCACGUGCUGAUGGUCCUUUUAAGGUGUUAGAGAAAAUAAAUGAUAAUGCAUAUAAACUUGAGCUACCUGCAGAUUUUGGGGUUAGUCCCACUUUUAACAUUGCAGAUUUGAAGCCUUAUUUGGGUGAGGAAGAUGAGCUUCCGUCGAGCAUGACUUCAUUUCAAGAAGGGGAGGAUGAUGAGGACAUCAAUACCAUUGUUACACCCACAGCCCCUACUGUUACAUAUAAUGGACCAAUUACUAGAGCUCGCGCACGCCAAUUAAAUUACCAGGUACUUUCGUUUCUUGGUAAUGAUUCUAAUGUUCAUGAGAAUAUGAUGCUGCCUAAAUUGGAUACUUUUGUUUUGCUUACAAAUGAAGGGCCUAGCUUGGAGAAGGAUGAACAUUGGAGCAAGAACAAACAUGGAGUUGAUGGCAUGCGCAAGGGGAACAAGAACGGAGUUACAAGUGAUGAUUUCAGGACUUUGAAGCCACCAUAAGGAGUGAAUGAAGCCUUGGACGAAAUAUACAAGAUGCCACUUCAUAAAUUUCGUCCAGAGGCUAUUCUAGGUGCUGCGUCACCUUAUUAUUGGGCCAGGCCCAUGUAAUUUCAAAAUACAUAAGUAUAGGCUAUUUUUAGAGUCCGUAUGUGUGGGGAAACAAGAGAUAGGGUUGGUUUCGGACCCCUUCCCCAAGGGCCACGAAAUUCCCCCCCUCUUCCUCCAUAGAUACAGCCCUUAGGGCACCGUUUAGACUUUGGGUUUUGUUUAGAUUAAAAGUUCGCCAUAGCUGCAACUUCGCAUACUUCGUUUGUGUUCAACGACCAGACAAAGGCGUCACAGAACCCCACCUUGAUCAAUAAAGCUUUCCUCUUAUAUUCGCAAUAUCCAGAUUGCAAACUUAGUUUCUUGCUUGUUCUUCGUUUGCCUGCAGGAAACAGACCUUCGUGGUCAGGUUGAUCGUGCUCCGGCGUGGUCAAUAACCUCUCGGAGUUGGUUUAGCGAUUGCUAAGGCGCGACGUCCUUGCACGUUCGUAGUCGGAUCGUCAAAGUCGACUUCCUCCAAAACGAUAGCCACCAUCUCAUCGAAAGACGGGACACCUUUGCCUCUAUCAGCUGUUGUUGAACCAUUGGAUGUAGUAAGGAUGUGGAUGUGGUCUUGUUGUGAGAGAUAGCUUCUCCACCAUCUCCAUGCUAGCCAAGUUGUUGCUGCUCCCUCCAUCUAUGAUGACGCGAACAAAACGUUCCUUUACAACUCCCUUUGUAUGGAACAAAUUAUGCCUCUGAUUUUGCUCAGCUUUUGUAACCUGCACACUCAAAACACGUUGAUGAUAAGGACAUGGCUACCACAGUUACACCCGUAUCCCCUACUGUUUUACCUCUUGGAACAGUUGCUAGAGCUCAGAUACGCCAAUUAAAUUAUCAGGUACUUCCGUUUCUUGGUAAUGUUUCUAGUGUUCAUGAGAAUAUGAUGCUGCCUAACUUAGAUACAUUUGUGUUGCUUGCAAUUGAAGGGCCUAGCACGGACAAGAAGGUUGAACAUUGGAGCAUGGUCAAGCACGGAGAUGAAGGUGCGUGCGAAGAGAAUAAGAACGGAGGUUCAAGUGGAGAUUUCCGGACUUUGAAGCCACCAUGAUGACAUACAAGAUGAUGGACGAAAUAUACAAGAUGGCCUUUCAUAAAUUUCAUCCAUAGCUUAUUAUUGGUGUUGCGCCACCUUAUUUUGGGCCAGGCCCAUGUAAUCUAUUUUUAGAGUCCAUAUUGUAGGGAAAAUGACUUAGGAGGUGUUUUAGUCCCACCUUGCCAAGGGUGGACAAAGUCCCCUCUCUUUUCCCUACAAAUAUAGCCCUUAAGGCAUCAUUUAGACUGGGGUUUUAUUUAGUUAAAAGUUAGCCAUCGGUGCAACUUCGUGUACUUCAGUUGUGUCCAACGACCAGACCAAGUCCGCUUAUGAAACCCCACUUUUAUCAAUACUUCAUCCAUAUUCGCAAUAUUCAGAUUGCUUAAUCAUAUUCUUGCUUGUUCUUCGAUUGCUUGCAGGAAUAGACCUUCGUGGUCAGGUUGAUCGUGCUCCGGCGUGGUCGAUAACCUCUCGAAUUUGGUUUAGCGAUUGCUAAGGCGCAACGUCGUGCACGUUUGUAGUCGGAUCGUCAAAGUCGGCUCCACCAAAUCGAUAGUUAUCAUCUCAUCGAAAGAUCGGGACCCUCGCCUCUAUCAAGUGGUAUCAGUUUUCAGGUUGCUCGGUGAGAUUUUCCAGUUUUUCAGUCUUAGACUGCAUCUGUUCUUCAUACCUAUAGUCCAAGAAAAAGCCACAAAAAAGUUAGAUUAGUCCAUCCGUGUCCCAGUCAGUCUGAGCCUUUUCACCAUUGCCACUUAGUUUUUUUUGCAUUGUUGAAUUUUCGGUUGCAUCGUGUGUCGAGUUGCUGGUUUUGGUAUCUAGUCUUUUAGAGUUUCAAGUUCUAGUCACGUUUUGUUCACGCCGCAUCCACAUGCACGAUCAUCCACCUCAUUGUCAUAUUCCGCUGCCAUUUAUUUUUCCAUCCCCGUUGUCACCUCCAUCCGCAAUUGUCGUAAGUCGUCAUCUUCUCGAUCUGUUUCACCGCCAUAAUUCUUGUCGCAUCCACCGAGCAGAAGUGGCGUUUUGUUAUUGUCAGGAAAGAUUGCGUUAUUGGUUGCACGUAAAGUUUUCUUGGAACGCAAAGAGAUACAGAAACAGGGAGCAGCCAACGUUGAUCAUCACGUUUUGGAAAGAAGAAAGAGAAACGAAGUGGAGAUUAGGCAUUGGAUUUGUUGUUGGCUGAUUCAUUUCUUGUACAAGAAAGGCUACAUAGCAGAUUCGGUAUUUGGACACUAAGGGAAAAAAUAGCAGAAGAAAAAAAAGGGCAGAUUGGGUUUGGGUUCCAAGGAAAGGUGUACGUGGGGUGGAGUCCUAGCAAUUCACGCUUGCUGGUUUUUUCGUUGGACCGGUCCACCAUGAUAGAAAAAGAAAGGCAAGUCAGAUCAGCCUACUUAUAAAAAAAAGGGGGUUCGGCCACAUCCUUCUUGUGAUCUUGUUGCGAUUGAUUUUGGUGGACUCAGUUUUGGCUAGUUCUGAUCGAUCAAAAAAAAGAGAGAGAUAGUUGCCACGUUUGGAUAUUGAAGGAAAAAAAAAUCAUGAUUAGCCGUGCAUGCAUGUAUGUUUGGAAAGAGAGAUAAGGAAAGAGAUCGAAUCAGCUAGAAAAAAAAGCGGAGCAGAUUGGUUGGAUCUGGGACGUGAUUCCCUCCCACGUUGGUUGUUUAACUUUGGAAAGAAAUAAAAAUAAAAGAAAGAAAGAGCUGAUCGGUUUGGAAAGGAUCUUGAAAAAAAAACAGCUUCCUUACGGGAGACGUGGAGAGCGCGGCAAGGGAUAGAAAAGACAAACAUUUAGUCCGAUUGGUAGUAACUUUGGAUUGACUCCUACGUGCAGUUUUUUUUGGGAACGUCUUGGAUCGGUACUAAAAGGAAACAAAUAAAUAUCAGAUGCGUUUGUUCUUCGGUUGAAAAAAAAGUUCGCGGAAUAAAAGGAACAGAGAGAGAAAAACGGAAGGAACUAGUAAGGAAAGUUUUGAACAAAAAGAAAAAAGAAGAAAAAACACAGCUCGGCUGGCAUUUUUGGAAGUAAUCCCGCAUGAGUUAUUUGCUUUUGGGAAGGAUAUAAAUCUUUAAAAAGAAUUCUACGCGUCAAUCAAGGAGAGCUGGUUGUCAUGUUUGGAAUUUGGAAGAUAGAGGGGGCGUUUCCAAAGAGUAGAUAUUUUGGUCCGGUUGUUGCCUUGCUGGGAUUGUUUUCCUUUGGAAACCGUGAGUAGUGCUUUGAAAAAAAAUAGUGAGAGCGAAAUACAAGGAAAGGAAGGUACGCACAUUAUCUUUAACCAGUGAACAUAAGGCAAAAAAAAGAGCAGCAUGUGGAGUAGCGUGACUAGUGCUUUUAACUAGUACUUGUGACAUUUAUCUGGUCAAGGAGAAAAAAAAGGAGAG
rnacentral:lncRNA from 1 species